AAUAUAAUUCAAGCUAUAAUUUUUAUAUUAUUCAACACACACCGGUGCCAAUUCCAUACAAACCAAAAUCAGCAAUAUAAGUUGCAUAUGCACAUAAAAAACAUACAUCCUCAAUAGAUAAUCAUGCAAUAGCAUCAUCAUAUCCUAUGCAAAGCCAAAGUUAGGAUGCAACAAAAUAGUAUAUAUAUAGAUGAUCAAUACCC
rnacentral:lncRNA from 1 species